GUCGACGAACUUCCGUUAAUUGAUUAUGACGUACUUGUACUGAUUGAGAUUUUAACACGAAGUGAGUGGCGAACGGGUGAGUAACACGUGGGUAACCUGCCCAGAAGUAGGGGAUAACACCUGGAAACAGAUGCUAAUACCGUAUAACAGAGAAAACCGCAUGGUUUUCUUUUAAAAGAUGGCUCUGCUAUCACUUCUGGAUGGACCCGCGGCGUAUUAGCUAGUUGGUGAGGUAAAGGCUCACCAAGGCAGUGAUACGUAGCCGACCUGAGAGGGUAAUCGGCCACAUUGGGACUGAGACACGGCCCAGACUCCUACGGGAGGCAGCAGUAGGGAAUCUUCCACAAUGGACGCAAGUCUGAUGGAGCAACGCCGCGUGAGUGAAGAAGGGUUUCGGCUCGUAAAGCUCUGUUGUUAAAGAAGAACGUGGGUAAGAGUAACUGUUUACCCAGUGACGGUAUUUAACCAGAAAGCCACGGCUAACUACGUGCCAGCAGCCGCGGUAAUACGUAGGUGGCAAGCGUUAUCCGGAUUUAUUGGGCGUAAAGCGAGCGCAGGCGGUCUUUUAAGUCUAAUGUGAAAGCCUUCGGCUCAACCGAAGAAGUGC
rnacentral:rRNA from 1 species